rnacentral:rRNA from 1 species
ACUCCUACGGGAGGCAGCAGUGGGAAUAUUGGACAAUGGGGCACCCGUAGCAUCCAGCCAUGCCGCGUGUAUGAAGAAGGCCCUCGGGUUGUAAAGUACUUUCAGUGGUGAGGAAGGUUGCGUGGUUAAUACCUACGUAAUUUGACGUUAGCCACAGAAGAAGCACCGGCUAACUCCGUGCCAGCAGCCGCGGUAAUACGGAGGGUGCAAGCGUUAAUCGGAAUUACUGGGCGUAAAGCGCAUGCAGGCGGUUAAUUAAGCCAGAUGUGAAAGCCCGGC